rnacentral:rRNA from 1 species
UACGGAGGGUGCAAGCAUUAAUCGGAUUUAUUGGGCGUAAAGAGGGCGUAGGCGGAAAUGUAAGUCAGAUGUGAAGCCCGGGGCUCAACCCCGGAAUGGCAUUUGAGACUGCGUAUCUAGAGGGUAGGCGGAGAAAACGGAAUUCCACAUGUAGCGGUGAAAUGCGUAGAUAUGUGGAAGAACACCGGUGGCGAAGGCGGUUUUCUAGCUUAUACCUGACGCUGAGGCCCGAAAUCAACGGUAGCAAACAGG